UGGCAGUGAUUUGAAUCUUACCCGCGCUUCUGAUUAAUUCAUGAAGUACAAGGGAAAACAUGGUUUGACCAUGGCUGUGAUGAUAAACACUUUCAGCAAACAUGCCA
rnacentral:ncRNA from 1 species